AAGUCGUAACAAGGUUUCCGUAGGUGAACCUGCGGAAGGAUCAUUAACACGUUUGCUCCUCACGCCCUGCACGCCUAGCAAUCCCUGGUAAAUCAUUGUCUGAACAGAUUUUGAGUCAGGGACUUCUGACGUGACGCGAAGAAUGGUAUUGAUACUCCAUCUGCGUGGGAUGACAUGCGACGUAGCAAAUCACUUGGCUCCCCAAGCAACCAUGUUUCUAAAAGCGGCUCAUGGAAGCGUAAGGAGACGCUGUAACGUUUUGCUGUAGGCCCACACGGCCGGCAAUCCAAGUGGUUGUACUUCGGUACCCUCACAUCGGCACACCACCGAUGAUAUGUCAAUUUCGCGAAUGGACUAAAAGCCUCGCACCAAAAACCGAACAACUGUUAACAAUGGAUAUCUUGGUUCUC
rnacentral:misc_RNA from 1 species